rnacentral:rRNA from 1 species
CCUACGGGGCGCAGCAGUGAGGAAUAUUGGUCAAUGGACGAAAGUCUGAACCAGCCAUGCCGCGUGCAGGAAGACGGCUCUAUGAGGUGUAAACUGCUUUUGUACAAGGGUAAACCUGAAUACGUGUAUUCAGCUGAAAGUACUGUACGAAUAAGGAUCGGCUAACUCCGUGCCAGCAGCCGCGGUAAUACGGAGGAUCCAAGCGUUAUCCGGAUUGAUUGGGUUUAAAGGGUGCGUAGGCGGAUUGAUAAGUUAGAGGUGAAAUGUUCGGGCUCAACUCGGGAACUGCCUCUAAUACUGUUGAUCUAGAGAGUAGAUGCGGUAGGCGGAAUGUAUGGUGUAGCGGUGAAAUGCUUAGAGAUCAUACAGAACACCGAUUGCGAAGGCAGCUUACCAAUCUAUAUCUGACGUUGAGGCACGAAAGCGUGGGGAGCAAACAGGAUUAGAUACCCGAGUAGUC